AGGUGGUCAGGUAGAGAAUACCAAGGCGCUUGAGAGAACUCUGCUGAAGGAACUAGGCAAAAUGGUACCGUAACUUCGGGAGAAGGUACGCUGCCGAUGGUGAGUAGACAUGCUCUACAAAGCUAUUGGCAGUCGCAGAUACCAGGCCGCUGCAACUGUUUAUUAAAAACACAGCACUCUGCAAACACGAAAGUGGACGUAUAGGGUGUGAUGCCUGCCCGGUGCUGGAAGGUUAAUUGAUGGGGUUAGCGUAAGCGAAGCUCUUGAUCGAAGCCCC
rnacentral:rRNA from 1 species